CAGCUCCAAUAGCGUAUAUUAAAGUUGUUGCAGUUAAAAAGCUCGUAGUUGGAUCUAGGGACGCGCAUUUCAAGCGCCCGUGUCGUCGGGUCAAACCGGCGACUGCGUUGGCGUUGCGGGCUCGGUCCGUCGGUGCCCCACAAAGGGCUAUCGGCGUGUCAACCGGCCCGCCCGUCCCCUCCUUCUGGAUUCCCGUUCCUGCUAUUGAGUUAGUGGGGACGUCACAGGGGGUCSAUCGUCGUGCGGCGUCAAAACCGUGCGGCGGUGGGUCCCUGGGGCCCAGAUCGUUUACCGUGAAAAAAUUAGAGUGUUCAAAGCAGGCAGAUCCAAUUUUCUGCCACCGAAUACAUUAGCAUGGGAUAAUGGAAUAGGACCCUGUCCUCCUAUUUUCAGUUGGUUUUGGCAGCGCGAGGACUAGGGUAAUGAUUAAUAGGGAUAGUUGGGGGCAUUAAUAUUUAAUUGUCAGAGGUGAAAUUCUUGGAUUUAUGAAAGAUUAACUUCUGCGAAAGCAUCUGCCAAGGAUGUUUUCAUUAAUCAAGAACGAAAGUUAGGGGAUCGAAGACGAUCAGAUACCGUCGUAGUCUUAACCAUAAACGAUGCCGACCAGCGAUUAGGAGACGUUGAAUACAAAACACCACCAUCGGUGCGGUCGUCCUUGGCGUCGGUCUUUCGGGGCCGGCGCGGGGACGGCUUAGCCCGGUGGCACCGGUGAA
rnacentral:rRNA from 1 species